UGAUAAUUGUACACCUCUACUAGUUUCAUCUCCUUUUAUUUCACAACGUACUAUAUGUUUCCAUCUUUUGUGUCAUUUUGCCAGUUAAUAGCACGCUCAUCACUGUAUACCAUUAUUUAUGCAGAUGACAUAGUCCUCUUAACAAGAAAAAAAGCUGAAGUUGUUUAGAAACUUGAGAGGUGAAGCAAGAAAAUUGCAUGUCUAUAAAUGAAACAAAAAUAAAAUAUUAAGUGUAUUGAAAUGUGUGGAGAGAUGAAGUAGAAUAAAUUUUUCACACUAAAAACAGGAACAAAGGCAUACAAAAUUGAAAAUAUCAACCAAUUCAAGUAUUUAGGAGUGGCAAUAAUUGAUAAAUGGGAAGAAGAAAAAGAAAUAGAAAAGAUACUACUAAGAGUAAGCUAGUAAGCAGAUCGAUGGUAUAUGAUUGAAGUCAAAAAUGUAUGUAGGACAACUAUAAUGCAAAAAUGUAUUAUGAAGCAGUUAUUUAAGUGGCAUUGUAUGCUUGUGGCACUUGAAACAAAUUAAUAAGAAAGAUGAAAUGAAAAUAGACAUAGUACUGGUAGGGGCUGGCAGUUCUGAGUUAGGACUGGCAAAAAAUAAUAGAUAUGGAAAGUCAGGUGGCUAGGUCAACAUUACUUGAAUGUAAGAGCGACAUGUAAGAGAUUAUUUUUGGAGGAAAAAAAAAGAGAAAGACCAUGAAAAGAGUUGUUAGAAGCAGUAAGGAGAUUUGGAUGAUAUAGAAGUGUAGAAUUGGAGGAGGAGCGUUAAUGUCCAGUAGAAAUGGAUAGGCUAUAUUUACUUUUGUGCUGUUAUUUGGCUUAUUCCCAUGAAAAUAGUAAUUGCAUUUUAUAUAAGUUCCACCUGUCAUGGUUUCUUCUUUGUUUUAAGUCAGAUGAAGAAUAUAAACAUACAAGAAAGCUUACACCAUUAAUAAAAAGGCAGGUUAAUACUAGGAAGUACCAUAGUUUUAUUUGCUUUCUCUCAGAAGAAAUAAAGGAUAUCUCCAACGAAGAAUAAAGUAAUAUCACAGUAUUCUGUUAUAUACUGGGGUAAUAUCAAAGAAUAUAUUUAUACUUUCCUUUAAUAUGCAAUCCUUUACCACAAAGAAAAGAAAUCCUUUACCUCAUAAUGGAAAGAAAUGAGAGGUCAUUAACCUUUGAACAAA
rnacentral:lncRNA from 1 species